rnacentral:lncRNA from 1 species
AUGUGUUCCUUAUGUGUUCGUGCCCCCCCAUCAUCUUUUUUUGCUAUUUGUUGUGACAAUAGUUUGCAUCUUAACAUAGAGCGAAAAGCUCAUUUGCUCCCACCUGAUGUGAUGUUAGGGCGAUAUUUAGUUUCGCCAGUAGGUGGCAGUGGCGGCUCAGCCAAAUGGGUAACUGGCAAAAUAAUCCUUCACAAAAGUAACGCAGGCCAGUUAUUACAAUGGAAGCCGCCAGUAACACUGAAUUGUUUUGCUGUGUUUCAGUUCAAAUCAUUGGAGAAGCAAGUGAUUAUAAUCAUCAUCUUUACAACGCUGUCAUUCAAGAAGCUGUGGCAAAAGCCGGCUGCACUAAUCAGACCACUUUGGAUGUGUCAGCAGUUGUCUACAAAGGUACCAAGUAUGUGAAAGGCUAUGUUUCCAUUGUAGAUGACACUGAUGAUGGCUUGGUGUUUGGGAAGAUAGCUGUUAUACUUGUUAACCUUCUGAAUUGUACUUUGUGCUCGAGUUGCAUCACUCAGUACUUCUCAUUGACCUUGGACUGCACUGCUUGCAUUGCCCUACAGAAAGAAGUGUUUGUGUAAAUGCUGACAGUCUGAUGGAUUAUUACCCACUACCACUUUAUAACAUGGCAGGCCUUUUUGUUGUCUCCCUACACCAUUCAGUUUCCUUUUAAUUCUUUUUCAGGGAUGGAGAUUGAAGAGGAACUCACAAGCCUCCUGCCGGCACUAGACAGAGAGAAAAUAAUCUGCAUUGUAGAACAUCUGAUGGACGUUAUUGGUGUACAACAAAAAAGUGAUCUUUUGUUUGUGGAGGCAGAAGAUCUCAAACCCUUUCUCACAUCAAUUCAAAUACGUAAACUACUUCUUGCAUUUAAAGGAGGUUUGUGUAGCUUCUGUACAAAUCAUAGACUUGAGUCUAUGAUUUGAAGGUCACUCAUAGACUCAUAUGUCACUGAUUAGCUUUUUUUUCUCUUCACCAUACUACACAUGUACUUUGACAGUAUAAUAUUGAAGAGCGUUUUGGGGCUCACAUUGUCUGGUAGAUGAUUAACACGGAAAACAUAAACAAAAGUGGACACUAAAUCUAACACCAUUAACCUUUCAUUGGUAG